rnacentral:rRNA from 1 species
CCUGGAACGGGACGCCAUAGAGGGUGAGAGCCCCGUCUGGUUGGAUACCGAGCCUCUGUAAAGCUCCUUCGACGAGUCGAGUAGUUUGGGAAUGCUGCUCUAAAUGGGAGGUAUAUGUCUUCUAAAGCUAAAUAUUGGCCAGAGACCGAUAGCGCACAAGUAGAGUGAUCGAAAGAUGAAAAGCACUUUGAAAAGAGGGUUAAAAAGUACGUGAAAUUGUUGAAAGGGAAGCGCUCAUGACCAGACUUGGGCCCGGUGAAUCACCCAGCGUUCUCGCUGGGGCACUUUGCCGGGCUCAGGCCAGCAUCAGUUUGCCUUGGGGGAAUAAAAGACUUCGGGAAUGUGGCUCCUCCGGGGAGUGUUAAAAGCCCGUUGUGGUAAUACCCUGGGGGGGGACUGAGGUUCGCGCAUCUUUGCUAAGGAUGCUGG